ensembl:lncRNA
GUUGUGUUGUGGUUAUAUCAUGGUUGUGUUGUGGUUAUAUCAUGGUUGUGUUAUGGUUGUGUUGUGGUUGUAUUAUGAUUGUGUUGUGGUUGUGUCGUGGUUGUGUUGUGGUUAUAUCAUGGUUGUGUUAUGGUUAUAUCAUGGUUGUGUUGUGGUUACUACCUGGUGUGGGUAGGCGUCUCCAGAACCCAACAGUCUCUUGUUUUGGUCAAACAGCAUCCAGAGCUGAGAGUCAAACUCUGAUUCAUACAACUGGUCACACAUUACUGGACAGCUGGGGGUCACCUCUCCUGACUUAGGCUGGGGAGAGAGGUGGAGAGGUAGAGAGGUCAGACACACAGUACUGGACAGCUGGGGAGAGAGGUAGAGAGGUCAGACUGUACUGGACAGCUGGGGAGAGAGGUAGAGAGGUCAGACAGUACUGGACAGCUGGGGAGAGAGGUAGAGAGGUCAGACACACAGUACUGGACAGCUGGGGAGAGAGGUAGAGAGGUCAGACAGUACUGGACAGCUGGGGAGAGAGGUAGAGAGGUCAGACUGUACUGGACAGCUAGGGAGAGAGGUAGAGAGGUCAGACUGUACUGGACAGCUAGGGAGAGAGGUAGAGAGGUCACACACACCAAACAGAGGUGUAUAAUACAACCUAGACACUCUCACCUGGUGGAAGCUGUAGGUGAGGAUGAUUUCGUAGAGCUGUCUGUUGUUGGGGAGGAC